UAGAACUUGUUAUUACUGAAUGUAAACACUGCCAAGCUGAUGAUAUUGUGGUAAAACACAUCCCACAUAAAACAUCUCUGGACUUGUUCAAUUACCCAAAGCACAUUAAUAACCUCGUGAACAGCAGUCAAGAUUUUUGCUUCUAAUCUUCUUUGGACAAAAAUGCGAGAAGAGGAGAAAUCGGACUUUGGGUAAGGCCAUUUAUAAGAAUUAGCCACUUUCAAGAGUUCGACGGACGACGCUAAGACGUCUAAUCACAGUAAAUAAGAUAAGCGCAGACAUAUCAUAGACGACAGACGUGUUGGACCGCAACCAAACCACAGUCUUACACAGCCAAGAUGACGGUUAUCAACAAUAUAUCCAGUUAAAAACGGCCACAAAGCAGCUCUCGCGGAAUCGAAAGUAAACUAUCCGAAGACUAUCUGAAGGAAGUUGCAAUAUAAGUGUAGCUAAUAUGACUCCUGAAGUGUUAAUGCGUCACGUUAUUAAAGUGUAAUAUUUAAUAACAUUCAUUUAGCCCUCAUUCUUCACAUUUUCUCCUCUCAUGCUUCAGGUCCUGCAUUAAAUACUUUAUUUAGAGCAGGAACUCCGUAUUUUCAUUAUUCAUAAGCACUGUCUCACCAAUGCAGAUUACAGUAACCAUCUGCUGUGGUAGAUUAAAGCUACGAAACCUGUCAUUAUCGAGCCUCCAGCACCGACACGUUCGUUUCUAUGCGUUUCAGAGUGUGGAUGCUUCAGAGAUAUUCCUGCUCGCCCCCAACCCCGACAUAUCAACCUGGAAGACCAUUAAAGCCUAACCAUGUGAAUACCACCUAUUCAUCGCAAACUCAUUGUUCACAGCAAGUGAAACUUGAUGUAAUUAGCAAGCCACCAAAGGAAGAGAUUGCGAUGAAGUGAACAAUGAAGCUGGAGAUGGUGUAUUGUCACGAUGCUAUCAUGCCAUUGAAGGCUUCAGCCAUGUGUUGUGUUUUUCUGGGAGUUCCUGUGUUUGCAACACAGAUUAAGUGAUUAAUCAGCGGAUUGGAUCUGAGAGGAGAGGACUAUAGGAUCGCGGUCCUCUGAGGUCCCGGGAUCAGGCUCUGUGCAAACAUCGGGAUUUGAUGCUAGUCGAGCGUUAAACCCCGAGCAGAUGGCGGAGGAUGUCGAGUUAAGACAGCGACUGAUCUGGGGAAACAGAUACUCUCUCGUUAGGUGGAAAGUACCUCUGGGACAGCAGUCAAGUGUUGGACUAACCUCCUGUGCCAAAAACAAACGGUCGAUCGAGCCCCUUUCUGCUCCAGCGGGGAAAGCAGAGGCUCAGCCCCCAUGAUGUCCCAAUAAUGGGGGCAAGGCUGAGGGAGGAAAUUACCCCUCUCAGAUCCAGCCAAACGGGGUGGGUGUGUAAAUGUGGAGGACGGUGCUAACCUUAUCUCCAACCGGUUUAUGAAAAUGAACGGAUCACACACACACACACAUGGCAUGAGGUAUAAUAUAGAGCUGAUUUGAAGGACCAUUUAUUAACUUUUUUGCAGCUGGAUUGUUGAACUAAAUUUUUUUGUAAAAAUUGACAGAAAAUUGGUUUCAUUUAUCAAUCUACCAAUUUUUACCAACAAUCUACCAAAUUUACCAGCAUUCUACCAAAAUUUACCAAAAUCCAUUGCAAGAAAACAAUCAUUCUACAUCCAUAUUAAUGCUGAAAAACACUAAAAUGUGACUGAAUGACUAACGUGAAUCAAGUUGCCUGUUAUGAUUGAGAAACAUUUCCCACACUAUAUUUGGGCAAAAUAUGCAGAAUGGAUUUAUACAUGGUAAAAAUGUGUUUGUUUUUACCCAGUUUUUGGUUUAGUCAUAGUUUUUG
ensembl:lncRNA